rnacentral:misc_RNA from 1 species
ACCGUCAGAGGACACGGUU